ensembl:lncRNA
AUGCCCCAUGGGAGGUGUGUGUGCUCAGACCAAGGGUGGAAGCUGUUAGGGGCAGUUAUCAUGGGACAUCCGCCAUACGCUGGCAAGGAAGAUGGUCAGUUCUUCUGGUCCACAAAGGCCCCCGGAGUCCUGGAAUGGUUGAUUCUUCCACGCAACGGAGUCCCCAUGGAGCCGUGGAGUCAGUGUGCCCUGGCAUACAUGGUGCACCGCAUGCUAGCAGGUGGCUCAGGACGUUAUGAUGGGACGUCCCCCAUAACCUGGCAAGGAAGAUGGUCGGCUCUUCUGAGGCACAAAGGCCUCGAGUCCUGGUGUUGGUAUGGCCUGGCCUCCACGGUGCACCCCUGCUGGUGGAUGGCUCAGGACGGGGCAGUUGCCUUGAGAGGCCCGCUGCAUGCUGCCACAACAGAUGUUCGAUUCUUACAAGCAACGGAGUCCCCAUGGAGUCGUGGAGUCAGUGUGGCCUGGCAUCCAUCGUGCACCUUGUGGUGGCAGGUGGCUCAGGGCGGGGCAGUUAUCAUGGGACAUCCGCCAUACGCUGGCAAGGAAGAUGGUCAGUUCUUCCGGUCCACAAAGGCCCCCAGAGUCCUGGAGGGCUGUGCCCUGGAGAGACCUGCCAUGUGCUGCCGCAACAGAUGGUUGAUUCUUCCAAGCAACAGAGUCCCCAUGGAGUCAUGGAGUCAGUGUGCCCUGGCAUCCAUGGUGCACCCCGUGCUAGCAGGUGGCUCAGGACCGGGCAGUUAUCAUGGGACAUCCCACAUAUCCUGGCAAGGAAUGUGGUCCAUUCUUCUGAGCCGCAAAGGCCCCCAGAGUCCUGGAGUCAUUAUGGCCUGGCAUCCAUGGUACACCCCUGCUGAUGGAUGGCUCAAGAUGUUGCCUUGA